rnacentral:rRNA from 1 species
GAUGAACGCUGGCGGCGUGCCUAACACAUGCAAGUCGAGCGAAGAUAGAGACGAGUACUUGUACAAAUUUUUAUCUUAGCGGCGGACGGGUGAGUAACACGUGAGUAACCUGCCUUUCACUGGGGAAUAACAUCGACAAAUCGGUGCUAAUACCGCAUAAUGUCACGAGGCUGCCUGGCCAUGUGACCACAGGAGCAAUCCGGUGAUAGGUGGACUCGCGUCCGAUUAGAUAGUUGGUGAGGUAACGGCCCACCAAGUCAACGAUCGGUAGCCGAACUGAGAGGUUGAUCGGCCACAUUGGGACUGAGACACGGCCCAGACUCCUACGGGAGGCAGCAGUGGGGAAUAUUGGGCAAUGGGCGAAAGCCUGACCCAGCAACGCCGCGUGAAGGAAGAAGGUCUUCGGAUUGUAAACUUCUUUGAUCAGGGACGAAUAAAUGACGGUACCUGAAGAACAAGCCACGGCUAACUACGUGCCAGCCGCCGCUGUAAAAC